AGCGAACGUUAGCGGCGUGGAUUAGGCAUGCAAGUCGCGCGUGAAAGCCUUCGGGUGAGUAAAGCGGCGGACGGGUGAGUAACACGUAACCAACCUACCCUCGAAACUGGGAUAACCACU
rnacentral:rRNA from 1 species